rnacentral:rRNA from 1 species
AUUGAACGCUGGCGGCAUGCCUAACGCAUGCAAGUCGAACGGGGUAGCAAUACCCGGUGGCGGACGGGUGAGGAAUACGUAGGAAUCUGCCCUUAAGUGGGGGAUAGUCCGGGGAAACUCGGUUUAAUACCGCAUGAUCUCGCAAGAGCAAAGCAGGGGACCGCAAGGCCUUGCGCUUUUGGAGGAGCCUACGUCGGAUUAGCUAGUUGGUAGGGUAACGGCCUACCAAGGCGACGAUCCGUAGCUGGUCUGAGAGGACGAUCAGCCACACCGGAACUGAGACACGGUCCGGACUCCUACGGGAGGCAGCAGUGGGGAAUAUUGGACAAUGGGCGAAAGCCUGAUCCAGCAAUGCCGCGUGUGUGAAGAAGGCCUCGGGUUGUAAAGCACUUGAUCUGGAAGAAAAGCUUUGGCUAACAUCCAAAGCCUUGACGGUACCAGAGGAACAAGCACCGGCUAACUCUGUGCCAGCAGCCGCGGUAAAACCAGAGGGUGCUAGCGUUAAUCGGAUUUACUGGGCGCAAAAGCGUGUGUAGGCGGUUCGUUAAGUCGGAUGUGAAAGCCCUGGGCUCAACCUGGGAAUUGCACUCGAUACUGGCGGGCUAGAGUACGGUAGAGGGCGGCGGAAUUCCGGGUGUAGCGGUGAAAUGCGUAGAUAUCCGGAGGAACACCGAUGGCGAAGGCAACCGCCUGGGCCUGUACUGACGCUGAGACACGAAAAGCCGUGGGGGAGCAAAACAGGAUUAGAUACCCC